rnacentral:rRNA from 1 species
UGGGGAAUCUUCCGCAAUGGACGAAAGUCUGACGGAGCAACGCCGCGUGAGUGAAGAAGGUUUUCGGAUCGUAAAGCUCUGUCUUCAAGGACGAAUGUGCCUUAUGUAAAUAAUG